rnacentral:rRNA from 1 species
AGUGAACGCUGGCGGUAGGCCUAACACAUGCAAGUCGAACGGCAGCACAGUAAGAGCUUGCUCUUACGGGUGGCGAGUGGCGGACGGGUGAGGAAUACAUCGGAAUCUACUUUUUCGUGGGGGAUAACGUAGGGAAACUUACGCUAAUACCGCAUACGACCUACGGGUGAAAGCAGGGGAUCUUCGGACCUUGCGCGAUUGAAUGAGCCGAUGUCGGAUUAGCUAGUUGGCGGGGUAAAGGCCCACCAAGGCGACGAUCCGUAGCUGGUCUGAGAGGAUGAUCCGCCACACUGGAACUGAGACCCGGUCCCGACCUCCACGGGAGGCAGCAGUGGGGAAUAUUGGACAAUGGGCGCAAGCCUGAUCCAGCCAUACCGCGUGGGUGAAGAAGGCCUUCGGGUUGUAAAGCCCUUUUGUUGGGAAAGAAAAGCAGCAGGUUAAUACCCCGCUGUUCUGACGGUACCCAAAGAAUAAGCACCGGCCAACUUCGUG